rnacentral:rRNA from 1 species
UACGUAGGGGGCAAGCGUUGUCCGGAAUCAUUGGGCGUAAAGCGCGUGUAGGCGGCUAGGUAAGUCUGCUCUGAAAGCCCGGGGCUCAACCCCGGGAGGCGGGUGGAUACUGUCUAGCUCGAGUCCGGAAGAGGAGUGUGGAAUUCCUGGUGUAGCGGUGAAAUGCGCAGAUAUCAGGAGGAACACCAAUGGCGAAGGCGGGUCUCUGGGCCGUAACUGACGCUGAGGAGCGAAAGCGUGGGGAGCGAACAGG